UACGAAGGACCCGAGCGUUAUCCGGAUUUAUUGGGUUAAAGGGUGCGUAGGCGUCCUGGAAAGUUACGGUUGAAAUCUCCUUGCUCAACAAGGAAACUGGCCGUAAAACUAUCAGGAUUGAGUACAUUUGAAGCGGGCGGAAUGUGUCAUGUAGCGGUGAAAUGCAUAGAUAUGACACAGAACACCGAUUGCGAAGGCAGCUCGCUAAACUGUAACUGACGCUGAGGCACGAAAGCGUGGGGAUCAAAC
rnacentral:rRNA from 1 species